GACUCUCGGCAACGGAUAUCUCGGCUCUCGCAUCGAUGAAGAACGUAGCGAAAUGCGAUACUUGGUGUGAAUUGCAGAAUCCCGUGAACCAUCGAGUCUUUGACGCAAGUUGCGCCCGAGGCCUCUUGGUCGAGGGCACGUCUGCCUGGGUGUCA
rnacentral:rRNA from 1 species